rnacentral:misc_RNA from 1 species
GAUGAAGAACGUAGCGAAAUGCGAUAAGUAAUGUGAAUUGCAGAAUUCAGUGAAUCAUCGAAUCUUUGAACGCACAUUGCGCCCCCUGGUAUUCCGGGGGGCAUGCCUGUCCGAGCGUCAUUGCUGCCCUCAAGCACGGCUUGUGUGUUGGGCUUCCGUCCCUGGCAACGGGGACGGGCCCAAAAGGCAGUGGCGGCACCAUGUCUGGUCCUCGAGCGUAUGGGGCUUUGUCACCCGCUCCCGUAGGUCCAGCUGGCAGCUAGCCUCACAACCAAUCUUUUUAACCAGGUUGACCUCGGAUCAGGUAGGGAUACCCGCUGAACUUAAGCAUAUCAAUAAGCGAGGA